GCCUCUGAGGAUGAUCAAAAAUAACUUUCGUUCUACUGAGUUGCCCAUGCGGAAAUUACAUGGAAACCUGAACUGAAGAGGC